CUUGUUUAAAAUGUCCAGGACUGUGGAGGUGCCGGGCCCAGUGGAGACGAGUUUGCAAACCUCUCCCAAAGACUCCCAGGCCUGGCAGCUGCCAUGCUCCAGUGCAGACAGACAAUCGGACAGGGAGCCACCUCUCCAGAAUCUCCAGAUGUCAUCGAACAUAAUCCACUUUUAGAAUCUAGCCGACACCCGUGUGGACUGAAACCGAGAGCCGGAGGAGGCUGUUGGCAGUGAUAGAAGCAGCCGAGCCAGAGAGGACCCGAGGGGGCCAUCAGGACGGUGGGUUUUCAAACUUGUCUUUAGGCAGAGAUGUCAUUAAAAAUGUGA